rnacentral:snRNA from 1 species
GGAUGUGAGGGCGAUCUGGCUGCACCAUCUGUCACCCCAUUGAUAGCCAGGGUUGAUUCGGCUGAUCUGGCUGGCUAGGCAGGUGUCCCCUUCCUCCCUCACUGCUCCAUUGUGUCCUUCCCAAAGCUGCACGCUUGGUGGUCAAAGAGGAUGGCCUUCCCCCGAAUAGAGAUAGACUGGUCUUCGGUAGAGGCUAUAGGAGUAGCUGCUCUCCCCUGCCAGAACCUCCAAACAAGCUCUCUAGUGGAAAAAUCCAGAAGUAUGCAUGGAUUACCUCGUAAAAGAAACUCAAUUUUGAAAGUCUUAUUCACUAAGGAUUGAUUAGCUCUUC